rnacentral:rRNA from 1 species
UACGGAGGGGACUAGCGUUGUUCGGAAUUACUGGGCGUAAAGCGCGCGCAGGCGGUUUUCCAAGUCAGUGGUGAAAUCCCGGAGCUCAACUCCGGAACUGCCAUUGAAACUGUUAAGCUAGAGGACGAGAGAGGUGAGUGGAAUUCCCAGUGUAGAGGUGAAAUUCGUAGAUAUUGGGAAGAACACCGGUGGCGAAGGCGGCUCACUGGCUCGUUUCUGACGCUCAGGCGCGAUAGCGUGGGGAUCAAACAGG